CAGCCGCCGCGGGAAUACAGAGGGUGCAAGCGUUAAUCGGAAUUACUGGGCGUAAAGCGCGCGUAGGUGGUUUGUUAAGUUGGAUGUUAAAGCCCCGGGCUCAACCUGGGAACUGCAUCCAAAACUGGCAAGCUAGAGUACGGUAGAGGGUGGUGGAAUUUCCUGUGUAGCGGUGAAAUGCGUAGAUAUAGGAAGGAACACCAGUGGCGAAGGCGACCACCUGGACUGAUACUGACACUGAGGUGCGAAAGCGUGGGGAGCAAACAGGAUUAGAUACCCCCGUAGUCCCUGUCUCUUAUAC
rnacentral:rRNA from 1 species